GAUUUCAUAAUGAAGUUAAAGGAGGCUUUAAAUUUAAAGUUGCCUUUAACUUGAGAUUUUCAUUUCAUAAUCAAGUUAAAGGGCCCUUUUUAUCAAAAGCCCUCUUUAACUUUAAAGUGCAGAUUUCGGACCUUUAAGUUGCUAAAGUCUCCUUUAAAGGUUCAAGAAAUGUAUUGUAUUCAGAAGACCAAAAAUUAAUCAGAACAGAUGAAGAACAAACUGUUUUGAACAAUAAUAAUAUGAUGAUCUGGAUUUUUAUCAAAGAUUUAGGUUGAAAACAAACAGUUUUGUGUGCCUUCUUAAAUAGAAAACCAAACAACUUUGCCUACUAUAUUAGAGGUGGAUGCAUUACUCCCAUGCAAC
rnacentral:lncRNA from 1 species